UGGCGGGAUAGAGCAAUGGUAGCUCACCAGGCUCAUGCCCUGGAACAUGAAGGUUCGAAUCCUUCUCCCGCAAU
rnacentral:tRNA from 1 species